rnacentral:tRNA from 1 species
CGGGGUGUAGCUCAGUGGCAGAGCGCUCGGUUCGGGACCGAGAGGAACUUAUCGCUGGUUCGAUUCCAGUCACCCCGA